rnacentral:rRNA from 1 species
GAGAGCGACCGGUGCUUGCACUGGUCAAUCUAGUGGCGAACGGGUGAGUAACACGUGGGUAACCUGCCCAUCAGAGGGGGAUAACAUUCGGAAACGGAUGCUAAAACCGCAUAGGUUCUACAGUCGCAUGACUGAAGAAGGAAAAGAGGCUUCGGCUUCUGCUGAUGGAUGGACCCGCGGUGCAUUAGCUAGUUGGUGAGGUAACGGCUCACCAAGGCCGUGAUGCAUAGCCGACCUGAGAGGGUGAUCGGCCACAUUGGGACUGAGACACGGCCCAAACUCCUACGGGAGGCAGCAGUAGGGAAUCUUCCGCAAUGGACGCAAGUCUGACGGAGCAACGCCGCGUGAGUGAAGAAGGAUUUCGGUUCGUAAAACUCUGCUGUUAGAGAAGAACAGCGCAUAGAGUAACUGUUAUGCGUGUGACGGUAUCUAACCAGAAAGCCACGGCUAACUACGUGCCAGCAGCCGCGGUAAUACGUAGGUGGCAAGCGUUGUCCGGAUUUAUUGGGCGUAAAGCGAGCGCAGGCGGUCAAUUAAGUCUGAUGUGAAAGCCCCCGGCUCAACCGGGGAGGGUCAUUGGAAACUGGUUGACUUGAGUGCAGAAGAGGAGAGUGGAAUUCCAUGUGUAGCGGUGAAAUGCGUAGAUAUAUGGAGGAACACCAGUGGCGAAGGCGACUCUCUGGUCUGUAACUGACGCUGAGGCUCGAAAGCGUGGGUAGCAAACAGGAUUAGAUACCCUGGUAGUCCACGCCGUAAACGAUGAGUGCUAAGUGUUGGAGGGUUUCCGCCCUUCAGUGCUGCAGUUAACGCAUUAAGCACUCC